rnacentral:SRP_RNA from 1 species
GCUGAGCUCAGUAGCAUGAGCUUGUAACCCAAGUGGGAGCAAUAAAAUGAUCGGGACAAACCAAAUCAUAUAGGUUUCUCAUGAACCGAAACAGUUUU